GAUGAACGCUGGCGGCGUGCCUAAUACAUGCAAGUCGAGCGAACGGACGAGAAGCUUGCUUCUCUGAUGUUAGCGGCGGACGGGUGAGUAACACGUGGAUAACCUACCUAUAAGACUGGGAUAACUUCGGGAAACCGGAGCUAAUACCGGAUGAUAUUUUGAACCGCAUGGUUCAAAAGUGAAAGACGGUCUUGCUGUCACUUAUAGAUGGAUCCGCGCUGCAUUAGCUAGUUGGUAAGGUAACGGCUUACCAAGGCAACGAUGCAUAGCCGACCUGAGAGGGUGAUCGGCCACACUGGAACUGAGACACGGUCCAGACUCCUACGGGAGGCAGCAGUAGGGAAUCUUCCGCAAUGGGCGAAAGCCUGACGGAGCAACGCCGCGUGAGUGAUGAAGGUCUUCGGAUCGUAAAACUCUGUUAUUAGGGAAGAACAUAUGUGUAAGUAACUGUGCACAUCUUGACGGUACCUAAUCAGAAAGCCACGGCUAACUACGUGCCAGCAGCCGCGGUAAUACGUAGGUGGCAAGCGUUAUCCGGAAUUAUCGGGCGUAAAGCGCGCGUAGGCGGUUUUUUAAGUCUGAUGUGAAAGCCCACGGCUCAACCGUGGAGGGUCAUUGGAAACUGGAAAACUUGAGUGCAGAAGAGGAAAGUGGAAUUCCAUGUGUAGCGGUGAAAUGCGCAGAGAUAUGGAGGAACACCAGUGGCGAAGGCGACUUUCUGGUCUGUAACUGACGCUGAUGUGCGAAAGCGUGGGGAUCAAACAGGAUUAGAUACCCUGGUAGUCCACGCCGUAAACGAUGAGUGCUAAGUGUUAGGGGGUUUCCGCCCCUUAGUGCUGCAGCUAACGCAUUAAGCACUCCGCCUGGGGAGUACGACCGCAAGGUUGAAACUCAAAGGAAUUGACGGGGACCCGCACAAGCGGUGGAGCAUGUGGUUUAAUUCGAAGCAACGCGAAGAACCUUACCAAAUCUUGACAUCCUUUGACAACUCUAGAGAUAGAGCCUUCCCCUUCGGGGGACAAAGUGACAGGUGGUGCAUGGUUGUCGUCAGCUCGUGUCGUGAGAUGUUGGGUUAAGUCCCGCAACGAGCGCAACCCUUAAGCUUAGUUGCCAUCAUUAAGUUGGGCACUCUAAGUUGACUGCCGGUGACAAACCGGAGGAAGGUGGGGAUGACGUCAAAUCAUCAUGCCCCUUAUGAUUUGGGCUACACACGUGCUACAAUGGACAAUACAAAGGGCAGCGAAACCGCGAGGUCAAGCAAAUCCCAUAAAGUUGUUCUCAGUUCGGAUUGUAGUCUGCAACUCGACUACAUGAAGCUGGAAUCGCUAGUAAUCGUAGAUCAGCAUGCUACGGUGAAUACGUUCCCGGGUCU
rnacentral:rRNA from 1 species